rnacentral:rRNA from 1 species
CCUAGGGAGGCACCAGUGAGGAAUAUUGCACAAUGGGGGGAACCCUGAUGCAGCAACGCCGCGUGGAGGAUGACGCAUUUCGGUGUGUAAACUCCUUUUAUAUGUCAAGAAAAUGACGGUAGCAUAUGAAUAAGCACCGGCUAACUCCGUGCCAGCAGCCGCGGUAAUACGGAGGGUGCAAGCGUUACUCGGAAUCACUGGGCGUAAAGGACGCGUAGGCGGGUUGGAAAGUCAGGUGUGAAAUCCUACAGCUUAACUGUAGAACUGCACUUGAAACUUCUAAUCUAGAGUAUGGGAGGGGGAGAUGGAAUUAGUGGUGUAGGGGUAAAAUCCGUAGAUAUCACUAGGAAUACCUAAAGCGAAGGCGAUCUCCUGGAACAUUACUGACGCUAAGGCGUGAAAGCGUGGGGAGCAAACAGGAUUAGAUACCCGAGUAGUC